GGCCCAUCGGGUGUUGAAACUGGUAUAAAAUGCUUCCCCUUUUAUUCUUCAUUUUUCUUCUUGCUGCUGACCAUGGUCACUGAAAAGGUUUGAAAAUUCAACUAGCAGACAAGUCACAUUCUCAAAGGGAUCAGAAAUGGGUUGCUCAACAAGGCUAAUGAUCAUUACUUUCUGUGAUGCGGGGGUUUCUUGCAUGUUUCAACUAUGGGAAAGGCUAUAAACGUGGAAAUCGAGCCAUCAGAACUGGAAACCAGACCAGAUCACCCUCCCCUAAUGGUGCAUGCUUCUUAUACCGACCAGAACUUGCUCAAUCUCGAAUCAAUAUACAGAAAAGGAGUUGCAAAUUUUCUGAAAAUAUGUUUUGAUUUUCGCGCGACUUGUGUUGGUAAGAAGCUUGUUGAAGAUGGACCAAAUUGGCAUUGUUUUGAAGCAUUUUUGUUGAUUCCAGCACUGCAUCAUACAACUUGCGCAUUCCCGCACACGCAAGGCAUGCUACAGCACACAGUACAUACGCAAGGCAGACAGGCAGGGGCGCCUUGCGCAUGCUACAAGACAGGUUCUGUACAAACAGCGUUUUUCACUCUUUUUUGGAAGAUCUUAUGAAACCAAAGGGGGAGGAAACUCUUAGGAAACUUAGAGGCUAAGAUUUGAGUUUUUGGAUGAGAUUAAUGGGGUGGGAAACAUUGUAAACACCUUGAAUUCUCUUGUUCGUGGGAAGAGAUUGGGAAAUGGGUAGAAAUUAGGUUGUUCUUGGAGAACUUGUAAAAUAUAAUUUCUUGUAACCUUUUUUGUAUCUCUUUGUAAGAAACUCAUUGAUAGUGGAUUGGAGAGAUCUCUCUCCCCCAGAUGUAGGUCAUUGUUGGGCUGAACUGGGUAACCAAAUCUUGGUGUAUUUGUUUCUCCAUUCUCUUCA